UAUUUAUGUUUCUCUUAUAGACUUGUGUACUUGCACUUUUUGAAGAUGAAUGAAUUUAAAUAUAAAUACCAGUACAUUCCUUCCACAAACCUGAGGAGAUCACAACAUCCAGAUUUUAUGCCUCUGGGACAGAAGGCUUUGAAACCCAAAUUGCCAACCUGGUGGAAAUGUUUUUGGUUGAAGUGUACAGGUGCAAAUUUUGUCAGUUCACAAGCAGUAUCAAGAAUAGAAUCAGAACUCCUAUGACUAACAUUCACAAACAGGGUAGAAUUUGCCACAUUUCUGAGUGCCUUGAAAUGGGCCCAGAUGAAGAUGACUCAUACAGCAUAGGGGAUGAAAUCAGCCAAGAAAACAAAGAAAAUGAAGAAAACCUUGCAAAGAUGUCAUUUGUUGCCCAUGUACCAGAUGCUUCAUAAAAUGAGCCCUGAAUGCUGUGAUGUGAGCCUGGGGAGUUACCGUGAUAAUCCUAAUGGCUCUCAUUCUUGUAAGGUAAACACACUGUUUGAAGAAGAAGCAGGUCAGUUUCAGCUUGAGGAGCCCUGCUUAUAUUCCUCUCAUAUUCCACAGACCCCAAUGAAUCUUAAAAAAAGCAAAAAUGAGGAGGAAGCCUAAUUUGAACAUCUCAUGUCACUUGGCCUGUGUCACAUUUCCAGCAUUAAAACUCAAACCUUAGAGGUAGAAGUGAAAACAACUAAAGUUUUCAAACAAGAAAAUAGUAAAAGUCAGAAGAAGGUCAGACCUGAAAACAGUGGCUUAGCUCAGCCUUUGAAAGGUAUUUGCACUUUAAAAUCAAGUGCUGAAAGAAUACAACACUGCAACAUAUGUGACCAAGAACUGAAGUCAAAAGGUGCUUAUAAAAUCCAUGUUAAAUGUCAUGAUGGGGAUGAGGGCUUCAGAUGUGUUUAUUGCAAUUGCUGCAUGACUGAAUAGAACUUAAUGAAAAAUAAUUUAAAAACACACAAGCCGGUAAAAGAGAGCUACCAGUGUCUGAUUUGCGAGAGAAUUUUUAUGUUGCCAAGUACAUGGAAAAUGCACAGGAACAACCAUCAUGGAAAACCUAAUCUCUUUCUUUGCACAAAGUGUUCAUCUUUUUAUGAAACUGAGCAAGUGAGAAAUCUGCAUAUAUCUUUCCAUUAUGGUGACUUGUUUAAAUGUCUGCAUGUGAUUUUAUUGACGGAGAGUGGAGUAAGGUCUGCGAGCAUCUUUGCACCCACAACUACAGUUCCAGACCACAUCCGUGCACCGAAUGUGAAAGAUGGUUCUUCCAAAUGUUAAACUGAAGACAUAUAUGCUAUAAUGCUAAUGCUAUAUACUGAAGGAAAGCUGAACACAUUUCCAUAAAAAUAUUUAUUUAAAAAAUGUCAUGAAUUAUCAUGAAUCAAUUGGGUUCCAAGAUUGCAGCUGCAGUUUUAAAAUAGCUGAGCUGAAAGAGCAUAUGGCAAAACACAAAACUCCCAAACCCUUCCUAUGUUCAUUAUGUGGCCAAGCAUUUAAAUAUAGAUGUCAAAUGAGCAGGCAUCACAAACAUGUCCAUCAAAGACAGAAAGUGAAAGAGAUGAAGAAAAGAAAGAGAACUGAGAAUAGUCUUGUGCACUCUGAUACAAAAAGAACAGCUAGAACAAAAAGAACUCAAAUGAAUUUGUGUGCAGCAUCUGCAACAGGAAAAAGAGAAGAUGAUUUUCAGCUGUGACAAGGCUUGUUUCCUCUCUGGCAGGAAGUGUUCUUCAAAACUGGCUCUACAGAGACACAUGGGAAUACAUGUGAGAAGCCUUUCAAAUAUGAAAUCUACUUUUAUGCCUCAAUUGAUGCAAACUCUCUGCGCAGACAUUUCAGGACUCACAAGUGAGAGGCCUUACAAAUGCGAAAUGUGCUCGUACAGUUGCAUCCAGAAGAAGAGCCUGGACCUCCAUGUGCAACGACAUCACACUGGUGAGGCAUUUGGCUGUAGUUUUUGCUGCUAUUCUUCCCCUAACUAGCAACUCCUCCAGAAGCACGUAAAGAAAUACCAUCUCAGUUCAGAAAUCUCAUUAAUCAGCACCCAGCCCAUCCCUAGCCUCAAACCAUUUCCAAUGGAGCAUUAGGUUCUUCAUGCUUAAAUGUGUACCAGAACAGCUAAUCAAGAAGUAGGUCAGCCAGAAGAGAAGGAGACAUUGAUCCAGUGAGGACAUUAAAAGGACUGGCAAAUGUGACUCAACCUGAGGCUCAAAGAGUGGUCCUUGCAGGAGGCUUCAUAUACACUGUAGUAUAUGCUAUAACUCUGGUUUUCCUGAGAGGAGCAUGGCAUGCUAUGAGUAAAGAGGUUUGUUUUACGUGAGGACUGAGUAUUUUGAUCCAGUUUUCUGACUACCUCAUGCUGACUUGUCCUUCAUUAGAAGUUAGGGAGUUUGACAGUUAAAGGGGGAAUUUAUUGCAAUGCCAGUUUAGGUGCAUUGAAUUCUGCAAAAUCGGUUCUUGGAUGUCAUCUUGCUCAUUUUAAAUAUAGGUACAUAUAUUUAAAUAAGUAAAUGAUUGAAACUGAAAUCUGUUGACGCACUGGCUCUCAGAAUUAGUUAUAUUAGAAAAUAUAUCACUGCUCCCUGGCUUCUCUAUAAUAAUUAUGAUAUGCAAAGUAUGUCUCAAAAGAAACUAAUCAAUGGUAAAAUAAAAAUAUAGACAACAUAUCCGAUAAAUUUGAUUUUAAAAAUUCA